rnacentral:tRNA from 1 species
UCAAAGUAUAGUUUAUUUAAAAUAUUAACAUUGGAAGUUAAAGAUCAGCUAUUUGCUGUGCUUUGAU